UGAAACUAGAGCCUCACAUGUGAGUUUGGAGUCGAGAACUUAAUGAAAUGGUUAUAAUUGAAAUUGACCCCAAAAAGUUCUUAAAAAUGUGCUUCGGAAGUUACCGAAAACUUGUUUAGCUACUUAUAGAAAGAUUCGUUUCGUUUUUCGAAAAUCCGACUUCAUAUUCUUGUUUAGGGGGUCAAAUUGAGUGGGAAAUGGGUCUAACCCGAAUUUUAG
rnacentral:lncRNA from 1 species